rnacentral:ribozyme from 1 species
GAUUGCAAUAAUAGCUCAUUAAUUAAUUAGUUCGUAUUAGUCUUUCUUCUUGUCCGCUUUAUCUUUUGUUUCUUCUUCCUCCUCCU